UCAUCCCAGAGCCAUCAGUGACAUGCAGGAAGUGCGUCUUCGCCGCAGAAAUACAGUUCUGAGGACAUGGUCGAAGCGAUUAAACAUGUACCAAAAGGAAGAUAGUGCUUGUAUCGUUUGAGAAGUUGCAGCUAUGUUCUCCCCUCCCCAUUAGCGCUCCAACUUCUGUUGUAACCAGGGACCUCCCUAAGGAAAUAAAGAGAGGGUAUGGCGAGGUUGUUGAACCUGACAUUUACUUGGUCCUUCGAGCCGGAUGCCAACACGCCUGAGGAUUCCAGCAGGUGCGGUGAAAUCCAGGAAAGACCAUGGCCACGGCAGAACUCCGUUAGAGAGAGUUUCUCUCUGAGUGUCUGCUCUUCUUCUUCUUCUUCCAGCGAUGGAUGUGAAACCUCUAACUUAUUGGGCUUCUGCGCUUUACCACGGACGGCCUUCUUCAACAAUUUCCAAGAAAAACAGGAGGAGGAACCUGUUCUGUAUCCAAUCAGUGUCAACGUGAUAAAAUGAUAAGUAAAGCAAAACUAUCAUACUCCUUCCAAAUAUUACGUAUCUGCAAGGUACAAAAGUAAGUGCAAUUUCUGCCCGUCUGCAGGUUGAUCAAUGUCCUGUGGACAAGCCUAUUGGGAUCAUGUUUAGUGGACAGAUGAGACCAAAAUAGAACACUCUGUUGGUUCAUCUCUGUUGGAAUUAUUGUACAUAAGUUAUCCCAUAUUUACUCUGAGUGUUUAUGUAUCUAUUAACCUCCUAGUAUGCCAAUGUGCAACAGUAUAUGUCUGUAGAGUUGCUUUGCAGGAAGGAGAAUAAGGGGGACGCGAUAUCUGCUGAGUCAUCCCAGAGCCGCGUCUUCGCCGCAGAAAUACAGUGAUUAAACAUGUACCAAAAAGAAGAAAGUGCAUGUAUCGUUUGAGAAGUUGCAGCUAUGUGCUCCCCUCCCCAUUAGUGCUGCAACUUCUGUUGUAACCAGGAACCACCCUAAGGAAAUAAAGAGAGGGUACGGCGAGGUUGUUGAACCUGACAUUUACUUGGUCCUUCGAGCCGGAUGCCAACGCGCCUGAGGAUUCCAGCAGGUGCGGUGAAAUCCAGGAAAGACCGUGGCCACAGCAGGACUCCGUUAGAGAGAGUUUCUCAGACCCUCUCCUGGACUGGAGAUCAGCCUGCCAGCUGGGAUUCGACAACAGUGCUUCAAGUCAGAGUUCUUACGUCACUGUGGUGCUGUCAAGCCUCAGCCUCUAAGAACGGAGGAUCAAAUGACCUACAUCUACAGCUUCACCUCUUUACAGCGUGUAUUUCCCACACAGCCCGUGAUAUGACAUAGACCAGGCUCCAGCAGCCUCCUGACGUAUUCCUCCGUCACUUCCUGGUGAAGCUGGCCGAUCAGCUCCUGGAAUAGAUCCCAGCUUCCAAUCAGCAAUCAGAGCAUAGAGUGCCCUCCAAAAGUAUUGGAACAGCAAGGCAAAUUCCCUUGGACCUACAACCCUUUGUUUGAACCGCCCAUUUUUCAAGUGAGCAAAACUAUCGGAACAUGUGACUGACUGGUGUUUCUUGUUGACCAGGAGUUGCCUUCAAGGUUUAUUGCUCAAACAUUAAAUAGCUCUGCAUGACUAGUCUACUUGUUGACCUGGGUUGAAACCUAAAUUAUGCAUUUCUUAUUAAAGAGCAUAAAGCAACAUGAAGACCAGACCAGAGGGCUGUCUAUGGGAGAAAAGCAAGACAUUUUCAUGCUGAGAAAAGAAGGAAAAUCAAUCAGAGCCAUUGCACAAAUAUUGGGCAUAGCAAGCACAACAAUUUGGUAUGUCCUGAAUAAGAAAGAAAUUGCUUGUGUACUGAGCAACAGACGUCGAACAGGUCGGCCAAGGAAAACAACAGUAGCUGUGAAGAAAAACUCCAAAACAUCAGUAAGUGACAUCA